UACAGAGGGGGCAAGCGUUGUUCGGAAUUACUGGGCGUAAAGGGCGCGUAGGCGGCCUUCUAAGUCGAACGUGAAAUCCCUGGGCUCAACCCAGGAACUGCGUCCGAUACUGGGAGGCUUGAAUCCGGGAGAGGGAUGCGGAAUUCCAGGUGUAGCGGUGAAAUGCGUAGAUAUCGGGAGGAACACCCGUAGCGAAGGCGGCACUCUGGGCCGGAACUGACGCUGAGGAGCGAAAGCGUGGGGAGCAAACAGG
rnacentral:rRNA from 1 species